GCCUUCGUGGUGUAGUGGUCAGCACUCUCGGCGCGUAACCGAGAAUUCCGUGGUUCGAUUCCCGGUGAAGGCG
rnacentral:tRNA from 1 species